CAGCAGCCGCGGGAAUACGGAGGGGACUGGCGUUGUUCGGAAUUACUGGGCGUAAAGCGCACGUAGGCGGCUUUGUAAGUUAGAGGUGAAAGCCUGGGGCUCAACUCCAGGAUUGCCUUUAAGACUGCAUCGCCUGAACGUCGGAGAGGUGAGUGGAAUUCCGAGUGUAGAGGUGAAAUUCGUAGAUAUUCGGAAGAACACCAGUGGCGAAGGCGGCUCACUGGACGACUGUUGACGCUGAGGUGCGAAAGCGUGGGGAGCAAACAGGAUUAGAUACCCGAGUAGUCCCUGUCUCUUAUAC
rnacentral:rRNA from 1 species